CUCUCGGUAGUUCAAUGGCAGAACAUCGGGCUGUAAACCCGAGAACAUGUGUUCGAUUCACAUUCGAGAGGC
rnacentral:tRNA from 1 species